CCUACGGGAGGCAGCAGUAGGGAAUAUUGCUCAAUGGGGGAAACCCUGAAGCAGCAACGCCGCGUGGAGGAUGAAGGUUUUCGGAUUGUAAACUCCUUUUGUUAGAGAAGAGAAUGACGGUAUCUAACGAAUAAGCAACGGCUAACUCCGUGCCAGCAGCCGCGGUAACACGGAGGGGGCAAGCGUUACUCGGAAUCACUGGGCGUAAAGCGCGCGUAGGGGGGAUGGCAAGUCAGAUGUGAAAUCCUAUGGCUUAACCCUAGAACUGCAUUUGAAACUGUUAUUCUAGAGUAUGGGAGAGGUAGGUGGAAUUCUUGGUGUAGGGGUCAAAUCCGUAGAGAUCACGAGGAAUACUCAUUGCGAAGGCGGCCUGCUAGAACAUAACUGACGCUGAUGCGCGAAAGCGUGGGGAGCAAACAGGAUUAGAUACCCGAGUAGUC
rnacentral:rRNA from 1 species